rnacentral:rRNA from 1 species
AUUUUCCAUGCGAGUUGUGCGGGUUCAGACCCGCAGCGAACGGCUCCGUAACACGUGGUCAAGCUACCCUGUGGAUCGGAAUACUCUCGGGAAACUGAGGUCAAUACUGAAUAGCGUUUCCAGCCUGGAGUGGCGGAAACGCCAAACGCUCCGGCGCCACAGGAUGUGACUGCGGCCGAUUAGGUAGACGGUGGGGUAACGGCCUACCGUGCCGAUNAUCGGUACGGGUCAUGAGAGUGAGAGCCCGGAGACGGACUCUGAGACAAGAGUCCGCGCCCUACGGGGCGCAGCAGGCGCGAAACCUUUACACUGCGCGCGAGCGCGAUAGGGGGACCCCAAGUGCGAGGGCAUACAGUCCUCGCUUUUGCCUACCGUAAGGUGGUAGGCGAAUAANAGCUGGGCAAGACCGGUGCCAGCCGCCGCGGUAAUACCGGCAGCUCGAGUGAUGGCCGAUCUUAUUGGGCCUAAAGCGUCCGUA